AACGAACGCUGGCGGCAGGCUUGACACAUGCAAGUCGAACGCAUCCUUCGGGGUGAGUGGCAGACGGGUGAGUAACGCGUGGGAACGUGCCCUUCAGUUCGGGAUAACCCAGGGAAACUUGGGCUAAUACCGAAUACGUGCGAGAGCAGAAAGAUUUAUCGCUGAAGGAUCGGCCCGCGUCUGAUUAGCUAGUUGGUGGGGUAAUGGCCCACCAAGGCGACGAUCAGUAGCUGGUCUGAGAGGAUGAUCAGCCACAUUGGGACUGAGACACGGCCCAAACUCCUACGGGAGGCAGCAGUGGGGAAUAUUGGACAAUGGGCGCAAGCCUGAUCCAGCCAUGCCGCGUGAGUGAUGAAGGCCUUAGGGUUGUAAAGCUCUUUCGUCCGGGACGAUAAUGACGGUACCGGAAGAAGAAGCCCCGGCUAACUUCGUGCCAGCCGCCGCGGUAA
rnacentral:rRNA from 1 species